GUUUCCGUGGUGUAGCGGCAUCACGUGUGCUUCACACGCACAAGGUCCUCGGUUCGAACCCGGGCGGAAACA